rnacentral:lncRNA from 1 species
ACAUGCCCAUAAUUUCCCGCACUCUUUAUAAUGUUGAUAUUUAUGGAGAGAAUUUUGAGGAUGGAGAGUCAUUUUUGAGAUUUCCAUUGAUGGUUGGGUGGUCUCAAUCAAUGGAGCGCAAGUCAAGAAAUUCUUAUAAUAAAAAGAAAAGAGAAGAAUUUGAUUUGAUGCUCACAAGUGACAAUGUAAGUUUAUUUUAUUUAUGUGAAUUUUUAGUUACUCUACUCUAAUAUUCUUUAAUUUUCAAUUAAUUUUAUGUUAUUUUCUUUCGUUAGAUUAUGUGGGGGCCAUAUGCCAAAUUUUGGGACGAUUUUCUGCCCAAGUAUCUUGUUGAGAAGAUGGAUCUUGUGCUUUUAUGCACAAUAUUAAUAUGUUUUGAAAAAUUGGCAUACCACAGGCCAGACUUGUGUCUGUUGAAGCUAAACUUACGAGCUAAUUUAGUUCCACGUGAAUCAUCAUUGGUUAUCAUCAACAAGAAGCGCACUGCUUCACAAAAAUUUGAUUGGGCUGUGAGAUAUGCAAAUUUUGUAAAACUGUGGGGUGAGCGAAGAUUAAAUUUUAUUGUGAACGAAAAUGGUAAUUUAUUUAUCUUGUCCUUUUUUUAGUGUGUUAAAUUUUAUUUAUGUUUUAAUGUAAUCAUGUUUUUUAUGUUUGGUAGAUGUGGAUGAAAAUCAAGGGGCUUCAAAUUCUAAUGGGAAUUUAUGGACAUUUUGGUUAAUGUUAAUUGUUUGGUGUUUUUCAUUGCUAAUGUUUAGUCUUUUUAGUAGAACAUCAAACACCAAUGAUGCCAGGAGGAGAUAAAAGUAAUCUAGAGGAGUACUUUCAUAGCCCAAGCAUUGGUGAGUAGAGUGGCCAACAUCAUUAAUAACGCAUAUGAUGCGUGGACCUAGAGUUGAACGUAAUAUUGACGGUACUGAUAUUGGAGUGGCCAACAUCUUUGAUGAAUGGCCAAAUCGAACACCUAUAAUGCCUGGGGUUGAAAGUAAUAUUGGCGUUACUGAUAUUGGAGCGGCCAACAUCAUUGAUGAAGGGUUGAAUCCUGAAACCGAGGCUCAUGAAAGUCUUGUUGAUCAAACUCCUACUGGGCCAUUUGAAGCAAGCCCCAAUUAUGCUGUGGAUGCUGAAGGCAUAAGGCAGGGCAAGAGGGCGAAGAAAACCCCACAAUUGUUUGGUUUAUUUAAGGUUGAUUCAGCCAUCCACAAAAUUCAUGGACAUGACGGUUGAAUGGCAAUAAAGGGUAACCCAUGCAGUUGGUUUUAUAUAAUUUAUCAAGAUGGAAAGAGGGUAAUGAAUGUUGGUUUUGUAUCAUAUGUAGGAAAUUUUCUCAGCUUGAGGAUAUUUUCUAUACAAAAGGUUAAAAAUUUUGGAAAAGAAGCACAAGUCCUGAAAAAGAAGUAUCUGGAAUCUAGUAAUGUAUAUAAACUUGUAUGCUUGUGUUCCUCGAAUUAUAGGCACUUCUACUGACUUCCAGGUUUUGUUUCUUAAUCAUUGUAGCUAGUGGACUUCAGAUUUGGGAAGAAGUUUUCUGGUGUGCCACCUUCAUUUACGUUCAUGUUUUCCUGCUUUACUUCCAUGGUUUUCCUGCUGACUAGUAUGCCACCUUCAUUUAGUUUCAUGAUUUAAAUUACAACAGGUUUUGUUUCUUAAUCAAUGUACCUAAUGGACUUCAUGUUCGGG